GGCGAAGUAGCUCAGCCUGGUAGAGCGUCCGUUUCAUGAGCGGAAAGUCGUGGGUUCAAAUCCCAUCUUCGCCA
rnacentral:tRNA from 1 species